rnacentral:rRNA from 1 species
CAGCCGCCGCGGUAAAACGGAGGGUGCAAGCGUUAUCCGGAUUUAUUGGGUUUAAAGGGUCCGUAGGCGGAUCUGUAAGUCAGUGGUGAAAUCUCACAGCUUAACUGUGAAACUGCCAUUGAUACUGCAGGUCUUGAGUAAAUUUGAAGUGGCUGGAAUAAGUAGUGUAGCGGUGAAAUGCAUAGAUAUUACUUAGAACACCAAUUGCGAAGGCAGGUCACUAAGAUUUAACUGACGCUGAAGGACGAAAGCGUGGGGAGCGAACAGGAUUAGAUACCCCGGUAGUCCCUGUCUCUUAUAA